UCAACCAACUUUGUGAGGUGGAGUCAAAAAUCAAAUGCAAAACUCAAAUCUUCCACCUCUACUUAUGAGACUGAAAAGUGGAUGAGAGUGAACAGAUGACAAACAACUUACAUAAUGUAUUACAGGACAGGGCUGCUGCUUUUAACUGUCUGCCUGGCAGGUGUUGAUGGUCAGACUCUGACUGAGUCUGAACCAGCAGUUAAAAGGCCUGGAGAAUCCCACAGACUGACCUGUACAGCCUCUGGAUUCACAUUCAGCAGCUACUAUAUGGCCUGGGUCAGACAGGCUCCUGGAAAAGCACUGGAGUGGAUCGCAAGAAUUACCAACAGUGGUAGCAGCACUUGGUACUCUCAGUCAGUUCAAGGUCGGUUCACCAUCUCCAGAGACAACAACAGACAGCAGCUGUAUCUGCAGAUGAACAGUCUGAAGACUGAAGAUUCUGCUGUUUAUUAUUGUGCUCGAGAGGCACGCUGACUGAGGUUGUUGUAGCAGCUGU